rnacentral:rRNA from 1 species
AACGAACGCUGGCGGCAUGCCUAACACAUGCAAGUCGAACGAGACCUUCGGGUCUAGUGGCGCACGGGUGCGUAACGCGUGGGAACCUGCCUUUAGGUUCGGAAUAACUCAGAGAAAUUUGAGCUAAUACCGGAUGAUGUCUUCGGACCAAAGAUUUAUCGCCUUUAGAUGGGCCCGCGUAAGAUUAGCUAGUUGGUGGGUAAAGCCUACCAAGGCGACGAUCUUUAGCUGGUCUGAGAGGAUGAUCAGCCACACUGGGACUGAGACACGGCCAGACUCCUACGGAGGCAGCAGUGGGGAAUAUUGGACAAUGGGCGAAAGCCUGAUCCAGCAAUGCCGCGUGAGUGAUGAA